AUGCUGUGGACAACAGGGUGCUGGGGCUCAGUAGGGGGCACUGUGCUGCAGGGAGUGAGGGCGGCCCAGGAGGGGUCUGUACAACAACUAACCCCUGCCACCCUUCUCCCAGAGCCCAUCCCCAUUGAACCCGAGGUGCACGUCCUCCACUCCUCCUGCAACAGCAAGCCAGGUGCCAUCCAGCUGGUGUGCUUCAUCUCCGGCUUCUACCCCAAGCCUUUGACGGUGGAAUGGCUGGUGGACGGCAAGCCCGGGCAACUUUCUGGUGACACCGACUCUGCCAAGAAGGACGCUGAUGGCCCCACCUUCAGGACCCACAGCAAUGCCAGUGUCUCCCAGGACGAGUGGCUGGAGGGCAAGACGUACACCUGCCAGGUGUACCACCCGGGCACUGGGAGCAAAAAGCAGGACCACGCCCACAAGUGCAGAGAAGAAACAACAUCUUCCAGCGACAUCCAAGUCUUCCUGGUGCCCCCAUCCCCCACCGCCCUGUACGUGACCCGGAGACCCAUGCUCACCUGCCUGGUGGUCAACCUGCCGAGCGACUCCGGCCUCCGGGUGGUCUGGUCCCGGGAGAAGCCAGAGUCCAUUAGCCCUGAUCAGCUGGACAUCGGUGACCAGUUCAACGGCACCUUCACUGCCUCCAGCUCCAUGCCCAUCUUCACCCGCGACUGGGAGGAUGGAGAGACCUUUACCUGCAAAGUGGAGCACUCAGAGCUACCCUCGCCCCUCAUCAAAUCCAUCUCCAAGAAGCCAGGAAAGCACUCCACCCCGGGUGUCUACCUCCUGCGCCCCCACAACGAGGAGCUAAGGAGCAAAGAAGACUCCGUCAGCCUCACCUGCCUGGUGCGGGGCUUCUUCCCCGAGGACAUCUCGGUGCAGUGGAUGAAGAACCAUGAAGGUGAAAAGGAGACUGACAACAUCACCACUCCGCCCAUGAAGGACAAAGAUGGCGACUCGAACUUCUUCCUCUACAGCAAGCUGAAAGUCAGCAAGGCCAGCUGGAACAGCGGGGACACCUACACCUGCAUGGUCAUCCACGAAGCCCUGCAGAUGAAGUUCACCCAACGCAGCAUCAGCAAAGUCUCUGAGAUGAUCAUGUCGGGUGAGUUUUGCAGCGAUGACGGAGAUGAAGAGCUUGAUGGCCUCUGGUCCAGCCUCUCAGUCUUUAUAACCCUCUUCCUCUUGAGCGUCUGCUACAGUGCCACCGUGACCCUGUUCAAGGUGAAGUGGCUGUUCUCCACCGUGGUGCAGCUGAGGCGUGCGAGGGGCCCCGAGUACAAGAACGCUGUCCAGCGCGUGGUGUAG